rnacentral:rRNA from 1 species
UAUCACUAAGCGGAGGAAAAGAAACUAACAAGGAUUCCCUUAGUAACGGCGAGUGAACAGGGAUCUAGCCCAGCACUGAAUCCUGCAGUCAUUGCUGUUAGGAACUGUAGUGUUUAGAACGAUUCCUGCGCUUUGAGAUCGCCUUUAAGUCCACUUGACGGUGGCUUUUGGCCCAGAGAGGGUGUAAGGCCCGUGUGGGUCGAUCUCUUAGUGCCUGAACUGUUCUUGGAGUCGGGUUGUUUGAGAUUGCAGCCCAAAGCAGGUGGUAAACUCCAUCUAAGGCUAAAUACUGACACGAGUCCGAUAGAGAACAAGUACCGUGAGGGAAAGUUGAAAAGAACUUUGAAGAGAGAGUUCAAUAGUGCGUGAAACCGCUCAGAGGUAAACGGGUGGAGCCGAAAAUGAUGCUUGGGAUUCAGCCAGUAGGAUGUCUGGUGCUGAGCAAGUCGAUUCAUUAACCGAAAGGCUUGUUUAGCGGCUGGAUGUCUAAUUGGUGCACUUUCUUGGUGUCAGCACUACGACCAGCUGCGCCGGCGGUCUGUUGUUGUGAGAAGGUAGCGCUGUCUUCGGAUGGUGUGUCAGUCUCGCGACGUGGACUGCUAGUGUGCUGGAGACAGCGAUGCAAGCCCCCGUGGGCACACAUGCUUAACUGUGUUUGACGUGGCGUUGGUGUAACUUCCCAGAAGUUUAUCUGAUGCUCGCUGGACUGCGGUAGAGCCUAUGUGAUUUGUGUCAAUAGUCUGUGGUGUUAAAGUAGGUAAUCUACCCGACCCGUCUUGAAACACGGACCAAGGAGUCUAACAUGUACGCGAGUCAUUGGGCGUUAUGAAACCCAAAGGCGAAGUGAAAGUAAAGGUUUGCAUAAGCAUCCUUAGGUGAGAUCCUGGUACCACGUAGUUGGGCUGGGCGCAUCACCGGCCCGUCUCAUGAUGUGCUACAUCGGGGCGGAGCAUGAGCGUACAUGUUGAAACCCGAAAGAUGGUGAACUAUGCUUGCGCAGGCUGAAGCCAGAGGAAACUCUGGUGGAGGGCCGCAAUGAUUCUGACGUGCAAAUCGAUCAUUAGACGUGAGUAUAGGGGCGAAAGACUAAUCGAACCAUCUAGUAGCUGGUUCCCUCCGAAGUUUCCCUCAGGAUAGCUGGUACUCAGGGAAUAAACAGUUUUAUCCGGUAAAGCGAAUGAAUAGAGGUAUUGGGGUCGAAAUGAUCUCAACCUAUUAUCAAACUUUAAAUGGGUGAGACGCUGGACUCGCUUGAUUGGAGUCUGGCAUUGAAUGUGAGUGCCUAGUGGGCCAUUUUUGGUAAGCAGAACUGGCGCUGUGGGAUGAACCAAACGUUCGGUUAAGGUGCCUAACACAACGCUCAUGAGAUACCACAAAAGGUGUUGGUUGAUCUAGACAGCAGGACGGUGGCCAUGGAAGUUGGAAUCCGCUAAGGAGUGUGUAACAACUCACCUGCCAAAUCAACCAGCCCUGAAAAUGGAUGGCGCUGGAGCGUUGGACCUAUACCGAACCGAUACCGCAAGACUCUUGGAGGCGGUGUCGAGUAGGAGGGUCGCCGUGGUGAGCGUUGAAGCUACGGCCGUGAGGCUGGGUGGAGCCGCCACGGGUGCAGAUCUUGGUGGUAGUAGCAAAUAUUCAAGUGGGAACCUUGAA